UACGUAGGGGGCAAGCGUUGUUCGGAUUCAUUGGGCGUAAAGGGUGCGUAGGCGGCGCGGUAAGUCGGGUGUGAAAUCUCGGAGCUUAACUCCGAAACUGCAUUCGAUACUGCCGUGCUUGAGGACUGGAGAGGAGACUGGAACUUACGGUGUAGCGGUGAAAUGCGUAGAUAUCAGGAGGAACACCGAUGGCGAAGGCAGGUCUCUGGGCCACUACUGACGCUGAGAAGCGAAAGCAUGGGGGAGCGAAACAGG
rnacentral:rRNA from 1 species